rnacentral:lncRNA from 1 species
GACAGGGUCGGAAAUGGAAGACAAUAGGGCUUCCAUGAAGUACUCAGACUGCCUAUGAGAUGGCAAUAGGCCCCAGGACUUAGCAGCGCUCUGACAAGUUCAUGGGAGAGGAAAACUGUGAUGCAGUGUGUGUAAGUUGCUCAGAUGACUACCACAAAGAACAGAAAAGGAGGUGGGAAGCCAAUCACAAAACCUCGGCUUCCUUAGUUAUUUGGGAUAAAAAUAAUUUUGCUGCCAGCUUUCCCGGGAGGGCACCUGAGAAGGACGACUCCGCGGACCCGUUUGACUAAGACAUUUCUAACAUAAGUCACAUAGGGGCCCUUCUUCAUGCUCCUCUCCUACUUUGCCAAACAUUCUCUUUCUGUUCAAAGGACAUAAAAUCUCCCUGUGUGUCCACUGGAAUAUCUGGGCAGGAGACAGAGCGGCAACGCCACGACUUGUGUCCUGUUUGUUCUGCUUCUGAACGCACACGGGGUCUGAAGCGCCCCUUCUCCUUUUGUGGCCCUGGAAACUAAAACCUGAAAGAUGACUUAGCUGCUCUAAAUAUUGACCUGGUCAUCUAUAAAAUCAAGGUAAGUGUUGGAAGUUUGCUGCAUCCCCCCAAAAAGAUAUGUAA